rnacentral:rRNA from 1 species
AUUCCCCUAGUAACUGCGAGUGAAGCGGGAAAAGCUCAAAUUUAAAAUCUGGCGGUCUCUGGCCGUCCGAGUUGUAAUCUAGAGAAGUAAUGCCCGCGCUGGACCGUGUACAAGUCUCCUGGAAUGGAGCGUCAUAGAGGGUGAGAAUCCCGUCUCUGACACGGACUACCAGGGCGUUGUGGUAUGCUCUCAAAGAGUCGAGUUGUUUGGGAAUGCAGCUCAAAAUGGGUGGUAAAUUCCAUCUAAAGCUAAAUAUUGGCGAGAGACCGAUAGCGAACAAGUACCGUGAGGGAAAGAUGAAAAGAACUUUGGAAAGAGAGUUAAACAGUACGUGAAAUUGCUGAAAGGGAAACGCUUGAAGUCAGUCGCGUUGGCCAGGGAUCAGCCUCGCUCCUGCGUGGUGUACUUUCUGGUCGACGGGUCAGCAUCAAUUUUGACCGCCGGAAAAGGGCCUGGGGAAUGUGGCAGCCUCGGCUGUGUUAUAGCCCCUGGUCACAUACGGCGGUUGGGAUUGAGGAACUCAGCACGCCGCAAGGCCGGGUUUCGACCACGUUCGUGCUUAGGAUGCUGGCAUAAUGGCUUUAAGCGACCCGUCUUGAAACACGGACCAAGGAGUCUAACAUGCCUGCGAGUGUUUGGGUGGAAAACCCGAGCGCGCAAUGAAAGUGAAAGUUGAGAUCCCUGUCGCGGGGAGCAUCGACGCCCGGACCAGAACUUUUGGGACGGAUCCGCGGUGGAGCAUGUAUGUUGGGACCCGAAAGAUGGUGAACUAUGCCUGAAUAGGGUGAAGCCAGAGGAAACUCUGGUGGAGGCUCGUAGCGAUUCUGACGUGCAAAUCGAUCGUCAAAUUUGGGUAUAGGGGCGAAAGACUAAUCGAACCAU